UACGAAGGGGGCUAGCGUUGUUCGGAAUUACUGGGCGUAAAGCGCGCGCAGGCGGUCCUUCAAGUCAGAGGUGAAAGCCCAGAGCUCAACUCUGGAAUGGCCUUUGAGACUAGAGGACUUGGGUACGGGAGAGGUGAGUGGAAUUCCGAGUGUAGAGGUGAAAUUCGUAGAUAUUCGGAAGAACACCAGUGGCGAAGGCGGCUCACUGGCCCGUUACCGACGCUCAGGCGCGACAGCGUGGGAGGCAAACAGG
rnacentral:rRNA from 1 species